GUGUUGUAUGAAAGGAGAGAAGGUCAGCACUCCCCUUGACCAGGAUGGAAGAGGCCUCAAGCCUGACAACACAUACAUGGUUAAGGCAUUGCCACCUACUUUGUGACAUCUAACCAUCAUUUUUU
rnacentral:ncRNA from 1 species